rnacentral:rRNA from 1 species
AUUGAACGCUGGCGGCAGGCCUAACACAUGCAAGUCGAGCGGCAGCGGAAAGUAGCUUGCUACUUUGCCGGCGAGCGGCGGACGGGUGAGUAAUGUCUGGGAAACUGCCUGAUGGAGGGGGAUAACUACUGGAAACGGUAGCUAAUACCGCAUAACGUCGCAAGACCAAAGAGGGGGACCUUCGGGCCUCUUGCCAUCAGAUGUGCCCAGAUGGGAUUAGCUAGUAGGUGGGGUAACGGCUCACCUAGGCGACGAUCCCUAGCUGGUCUGAGAGGAUGACCAGCCACACUGGAACUGAGACACGGUCCAGACUCCUACGGGAGGCAGCAGUGGGGAAUAUUGCACAAUGGGCGCAAGCCUGAUGCAGCCAUGCCGCGUGUAUGAAGAAGGCCUUCGGGUUGUAAAGUACUUUCAGCGGGGAGGAAGGCGAUAAGGUUAAUAACCUUGUCGAUUGACGUUACCCGCAGAAGAAGCACCGGCUAACUCCGUGCCAGCAGCCGCGGUAAUACGGAGGGUGCAAGCGUUAAUCGGAAUUACUGGGCGUAAAGCGCACGCAGGCGGUCUGUCAAGUCGGAUGUGAAAUCCCCGGGCUCAACCUGGGAACUGCAUUCGAAACUGGCAGGCUAGAGUCUUGUAGAGGGGGGUAGAAUUCCAGGUGUAGCGGUGAAAUGCGUAGAGAUCUGGAGGAAUACCGGUGGCGAAGGCGGCCCCCUGGACAAAGACUGACGCUCAGGUGCGAAAGCGUGGGGAGCAAACAGG